AUUCUCAGUCUGUUGGAACUGUUGAAGAUCGGUGGCCUCAUUCAGCGUCUCGUUUAUGUUUUAAUUUUUGUGUGGCUCUGGAAAGUUGAUUUGUGGUAUUCGAUAGCUGUUUACGAGUGCUUCAUUCUAACUGAGAUAGACUUCAUCAAGGGGAAUGAAGUCCAUUGACGUAACUGGCAGAUGAUGGAAAGCCUUUGAUAUAACUUUAUUUUGGUGGCGGGUUAUGUUAAAAGUUGGCUUUCUACGCCAUGCAAUGUGAACAAGAAAAACCAUUAGAGGAUCUACAUGAAGGAUUCAAGAAAACAGGACAUGGUCAAUGAAGAGGACAACUUUAUUGAAUAAAGGAAGACGACGUUAUAUAUGAAGAUCGGAAGGGGUCUCCUCCUCCUUCCUGUGAGAUUUAAAAAAAAAACUUUUAUAAUCAUGACUUGUCGAUGUCCGUUUUGCUAUUAUCGUAGGAGUUGUUAGGUUAUCCAUAGCCUUCGAUCAGGUUGCUGUUAUUCUUGGUUAUAUAGAUGU